rnacentral:rRNA from 1 species
CCGGUAACCCACUCAGAGGGGGAGUAACACUUGGAAACAGGUGCUAAUACCGCAUAACAGUUUAUGCCGCAUGGCAUAAGAGUGAAAGGCGCUUCGGGUGUCGCUGAUGGAUGGACCCGCGGUGCAUUAGCUAGUUGGUGAGGUAACGGCUCACCAAGGCCACGAUGCAUAGCCGACCUGAGAGGGUGAUCGGCCACACUGGGACUGAGACACGGCCCAG